GGGUUGUGAGGUUAAGCGACUAAGCGUACACGGUGGAUGCCCUGGCAGUCAGAGGCGAUGAAGGACGUGCUAAUCUGCGAAAAGCGCCGGCGAGGUGAUAUGAACCUUUGACCCGGCGAUGUCCGAAUGGGGAAACCCAGUGUGUUCCGACACACUAUCGUUAACUGAAUACAUAGGUUAACGAGGCGAACCGGGGGAACUGAAACAUCUAAGUACCCCGAGGAAAAGAAAUCAACCGAGAUUCCCCCAGUAGCGGCGAGCGAACGGGGAGCAGCCCAGAGUCUGAAUCAGCUUGUGUGUUAGUGGAAGCGUCUGGAAAGUCGCAGGGUACAGGGUGAUACUCCCGUACACGAAAACACACUUGCUGUGAACUCGAAGAGUAGGGCGGGACACGUGGUAUCCUGUCUGAAUAUGGGGGGACCAUCCUCCAAGGCUAAAUACUCCUGACUGACCGAUAGUGAACCAGUACCGUGAGGGAAAGGCGAAAAGAACCCCGGCGAGGGGAGUGAAAAAGAACCUGAAACCGUGUACGUACAAGCAGUGGGAGCCUACUUGUUAGGUGACUGCGUACCUUUUGUAUAAUGGGUCAGCGACUUAUAUUCUGUAGCAAGGUUAACCGUAUAGGGGAGCCGAAGGGAAACCGAGUCUUAACUGGGCGUUAAGUUGCAGGGUAUAGACCCGAAACCCGGUGAUCUAGCCAUGGGCAGGUUGAAGGUUGGGUAACACUAACUGGAGGACCGAACCGACUAAUGUUGAAAAAUUAGCGGAUGACUUGUGGCUGGGGGUGAAAGGCCAAUCAAACCGGGAGAUAGCUGGUUCUCCCCGAAAGCUAUUUAGGUAGCGCCUCGUGAAUUCAUCUUCGGGGGUAGAGCACUGUUUCGGCUAGGGGGCCAUCCCGGCUUACCAACCCGAUGCAAACUACGAAUACCGAAGAAUGUUAUCACGGGAGACACACGGCGGGUGCUAACGUCCGUCGUGAAGAGGGAAACAACCCAGACCGCCAGCUAAGGUCCCAAAGUCAUGGUUAAGUGGGAAACGAUGUGGGAAGGCACAGACAGCCAGGAUGUUGGCUUAGAAGCAGCCAUCAUUUAAAGAAAGCGUAAUAGCUCACUGGUCGAGUCGGCCUGCGCGGAAGAUGUAACGGGGCUAAACCAUGCACCGAAGCUGCGGCAGCGACGCGUAUGCGUUGUUGGGUAGGGGAGCGUUCUGUAAGCCGUUGAAGGUGGCCUGUGAGG
rnacentral:rRNA from 1 species